rnacentral:lncRNA from 1 species
AAAACAAUUAUGCUAUAUGGAGAGCUCAUGUGGCUGUAGUUUUAAGGGGGAGCAAGCUGCUAGGUUUUGCUGAUGGUACUGUGGUAACACCGACAUUAAUUCCAAAUAGAGAAGGUAUUAUGCCAAGAAAUUUAGAAGUCUAUAACUAUGAAGAAUUUGUCCAACAAGAUAAUCUUGUGAUGGGGUGGCUGAUGCCUCAAUUACCGAAGAUGUGUUGCCUAAAGUAUGCAUGUGUACCACAGCAAAAGGAGUUUGGAAUACUCUAGGUAAGGUUUUUGCAUCUAACUCUCAAAUACGUACUCUUUAAUUAAGAUUAACUUUAUAGACAACAAAGAAGGGAGAUAAUAGCAUGGAAGAGUACAUUUCCAAGAUGAUACAAAUUGAAAAUGCACUAUUGAUG